UACGAAGGGGGCUAGCGUUGUUCGGAAUUACUGGGCGUAAAGGGCGCGUAGGCGGUGUGUCAAGUCAGGCGUGAAAGCCCCGGGCUCAACCUGGGAACCGCGCUUGAGACUGGCACGCUAGAGUUCGGGAGAGGAUGGUGGAAUUCCCAGUGUAGAGGUGAAAUUCGUAGAUAUUGGGAAGAACACCGAUGGCGAAGGCAGCCAUCUGGACCGACACUGACGCUGAGGCGCGAAAGCGUGGGGAGCAAAAGGG
rnacentral:rRNA from 1 species